rnacentral:rRNA from 1 species
CCUACGGGAGGCAGCAGUAGGGAAUAUUGCUCAAUGGGGGAAACCCUGAAGCAGCAACGCCGCGUGGAGGAUGAAGGUUUUCGGAUUUUAAACUCCUUUUGUUAGAGAAGAUAAUGACGGUAUCUAACGAAUAAGCACCGGCUAACUCCGUGCCAGCAGCCGCGGUAAUACGGAGGGUGCAGGCGUUACUCGGAAUCACUGGGCGUAAAGAGCGCGUAGGCGGGAUAGCAAGUCAGAUGUGAAAUCCUAUGGCUUAACCAUAGAACUGCAUUUGAAACUGUUAUUCUAGAGUAUGGGAGAGGUAGGUGGAAUUCUUGGUGUAGGGGUAAAAUCCGUAGAGAUCAAGAGGAAUACUCAUUGCGAAGGCGACCUGCUAGAACAUAACUGACGCUGAUGCGCGAAAGCGUGGGGAGCAAACAGGAUUAGAUACCCUUGUAGUC